GACGAACGCUGGCGGCGUGCUUAACACAUGCAAGUCGAACGGAAAGGCCCUGCUUUUGUGGGGUGCUCGAGUGGCGAACGGGUGAGUAACACGUGAGUAACCUGCCCUUGACUUUGGGAUAACUUCAGGAAACUGGGGCUAAUACCGGAUAGGAGCUCCUGCUGCAUGGUGGGGGUUGGAAAGUUUCGGCGGUUGGGGAUGGACUCGCGGCUUAUCAGCUUGUUGGUGGGGUAGUGGCUUACCAAGGCUUUGACGGGUAGCCGGCCUGAGAGGGUGACCGGCCACAUUGGGACUGAGAUACGGCCCAGACUCCUACGGGAGGCAGCAGUGGGGAAUAUUGCACAAUGGGCGGAAGCCUGAUGCAGCAACGCCGCGUGCGGGAUGACGGCCUUCGGGUUGUAAACCGCUUUCGCCUGUGACGAAGCGUGAGUGACGGUAAUGGGUAAAGAAGCACCGGCUAACUACGUGCCAGCAGCCGCGGUGAUACGUAGGGUGCGAGCGUUGUCCGGAUUUAUUGGGCGUAAAGGGCUCGUAGGUGGUUGAUCGCGUCGGAAGUGUAAUCUUGGGGCUUAACCCUGAGCGUGCUUUCGAUACGGGUUGACUUGAGGAAGGUAGGGGAGAAUGGAAUUCCUGGUGGAGCGGUGGAAUGCGCAGAUAUCAGGAGGAACACCAGUGGCGAAGGCGGUUCUCUGGGCCUUUCCUGACGCUGAGGAGCGAAAGCGUGGGGAGCGAACAGGCUUAGAUACCCUGGUAGUCCACGCUGUAAACGGUGGGUACUAGGUGUGGGGUCCAUUCCACGGGUUCCGUGCCGUAGCUAACGCUUUAAGUACCCCGCCUGGGGAGUACGGCCGCAAGGCUAAAACUCAAAGGAACUGACGGGGCCCCGCACAAGCGGCGGAGCAUGCGGAUUAAUUCGAUGCAACGCGUAGAACCUUACCCGGGUUUGACAUGGAUCGGGAGUGCUCAGAGAUGGGUGUGCCACUUUUGGGGUCGGUUCACAGGUGGUGCAUGGCUGUCGUCAGCUCAUGUCGUGAGAUGUUGGGUUAAGUCCCGCAACGAGCGCAACCCUUGUUCACUGUUGCCAGCACGUUAUGGUGGGGACUCAGUGGAGACCGCCGGGGUCAACUCGGAGGAAGGUGGGGAUGACGUCAAGUCAUCAUGCCCCUUAUGUCCAGGGCUUCACGCAUGCUACAAUGGCUGGUACAGAGAGUGGCGAGCCUGUGAGGGUGAGCGAAUCUCGGAAAGCCGGUCUCAGUUCGGAUUGGGGUCUGCAACUCGACCUCAUGAAGUCGGAGUCGCUAGUAAUCGCAGAUCAGCAACGCUGCGGUGAAUACGUUCCCGGG
rnacentral:rRNA from 1 species